AAAAAUAUCAGAAAAAAAAGAUGAGCUCCUGUUCAUGCGGGAAGAUGGAAACUCUUUGGCAGGGGGAGAGAACUAAGAUUUUUCUGAGCAAGAGAAGCUGGUUCUUUAUUUGAUCUCAGAGACAUUAAGGAAGAAGUAAUAAUGCUGCUGGAAAAUUAUAAAUUAUUUACUCACCAUCCUGACACCGUUCAACUUCACAAAAGCGAAUUCCUUCAGGAACAAAGAUAAAGGAAUGGGCAUGGGGAACUCCAUUCUACAGAUUAAAAAC